rnacentral:lncRNA from 1 species
UUAUUAUUAUUAUUGUUAUUAAUAUUAUUAUCAUCAUCAUUUUAGUUAUUUAUCUUUAGAAAAAUUCCACCUUCAAAUAAUUUCCAAAAUUCCAAUUUAUGUAAUUUAAUUUUCAAGAUUUCUAAUUCUUAAAUAAUUUCCAAUUCUAAUUUCUUUCAAAAUUUAAUUUCUAAAGUCCCAAUUUUCAUAAUUUAACUUUCAUAGUUUCUACUUCCCAAAUAAUUUUCAAAAUUAUGUUUUCAUUCGAAUUUAAUCCCUAAAAUU